rnacentral:rRNA from 1 species
GGCGAGUGAGCGGCAAGAGCUCAGAUUUGGAAUCGUGUUUCGGCACGAGUUGUAAAUUGCAGGUUGGAGUCUUUGUGGAAGCGUGUGUCCAAGUCCCUUGGAACAGGGCGCCAUUGAGGGUGAGAGCCCCGUGGGAUGCGCGCGGAAGCAACAAGGCCCUUCUGACGAGUCGAGUUGUUUGGGAAUGCAGCUCUAAGCGGGUGGUAAAUUCCAUCUAAGGCUAAAUACUGGCGAGAGACCGAUAGCGAACAAGUACUGUGAAGGAAAGAUGAAAAGCACUUUGAAAAGAGAGUGAAACAGCACGUGAAAUUGUUGAAAGGGAAGGGUAUUGGGCCCGACAUGGGGAUUGCGCAUCUCUGCCCCUUGUGGGCGGGGCGCUGUGCUUUUCCUGGGCCAGCAUCGGUUUUUGCCGCAGGAGAAGGGGUACUGGAAUGUGGCUCCUCGGAGUGUUAUAGCCAGUGCCAGAUGCUGCGUGCGGGGACCGAGGGCUGCGACAUCUGUCUCGGAUGCUGGCACAACGGCGCAAUACCGCCCGUCUUGAA